GGGGAUGUACAGGUUUCGACAGGGAUCUUUGAAAGGUAGGUUUUUGCAAUCAGGGCGUCGCGCUGUCUGCCCGGAAACUGCGAGAUUCGUGUUCCGCAGCGAAAUUCCGACGUCAGUCGGAAUGAAGCGAAGGACGCCGAACCGUGAAAAUCUUUGAUUUUCACGAGUGAGGCGAGCGAAUCCCUGUUCCAUAUCCGUCCAGCGCAAAAUUAAAUGCAGAUAAUGCAGGCGAAAUGGCAACUGUCAGAGCUCUUCGCAGAGUUCCGGUUUUUGCCUAACGCUCCUUGUCCUGAUUUUAUCGGGACACGCCGUACGCUUUGAGGCUUCAUAGAAGCGCGCGACGUCAUUCAUGAAGCUGGAUGACUCCGCCCGCUCGGCGGACGAUUCGAGAUUUUAGAGCUAAGCCUUGCGCGUUUUUUGUUCAUUUUUUAUUCGCCGGGCCGACAACUUAAAAUGAAACAUGAUUGUAGACGGAACUUAUCUUUAUCCUUGGACGGGGGUUCGAUUCCCCCCAUCUCCACCA
rnacentral:tmRNA from 1 species